rnacentral:rRNA from 1 species
UAACAAGGUUUCCGUAGGUGAACCUGCGGAAGGAUCAUUAGAGAAUCGCCCCGUUUUUUGAAAUGGGUUCUAUUCCCAAACCGUGUAUACAUACCUUUGUUGCUUUGGCAGGCCGCCUUUUAGGCGUCGGCUCCGGCUGACUGCGCCUGCCAGAGGACCCAAACUCGUUUGUUUAGUGAUGUCUGAGUACUAUAUAAUAGUUAAAACUUUCAACAACGGAUCUCUUGGUUCUGGCAUCGAUGAAGAACGCAGCGAAAUGCGAUAAGUAAUGUGAAUUGCAGAAUUCAGUGAAUCAUCGAAUCUUUGAACGCACAUUGCGCCCCUUGGUAUUCCGAGGGGCAUGCCUGUUCGAGCGUCAUUAUAACCACUCAAGCCUCGGCUUGGUCUUGGGGUUCGCGGUCUCGCGUCCCUUAAAAUCAGUGGCGGUGCCGUCUGGCUCUAAGCGUAGUAAUUCUCUCGCUAUAGGGUCCCGGCGGUUACCUGCCAGAACCCCCCAUUUUUUACGGUUGACCUCGGAUCAGGUAGGGAUACCCGCUGAACUUAAGCAUAUCAAUAAGCGGAGGAA